rnacentral:rRNA from 1 species
ACUCAAAGGAAUUGACGGGGACUCGCACAAGCGGUGGAUCAUGCGGCUUAAUUCGUCGCUAAACGAAGAACCUUACCCAGGCUAGAAACCAAGCUGCACGCCUCCAGAAACGGAGGAAGCCUUCGAGGGUGCUUGGCAGGUGAUGCAUGGUUGUCGUCAGUUCGUGGCUUGAGCUGUUCCCUUCAGUGGGGUAACGAACGCAACCCUCGUUGUCUGUUAUAUAUGUCAGGCGAGACUGCCCCCUCACGGGGGAGGAAGGUGAGGAUGACGCCAAAUCAGCAUGUCCCUUGAUGCCUGGGGCUGCACGCAUGAUACAAUGGGUGGUACAGAAGGACGCAAUACCGCAAGGUGGAGCAAAUCCCAAAAACCAUCCCCAGUACGGAUUGAGGUCUGCAACCGACCUCAUGAAGCCGGAAUCGCUAGUAAUCCUGGGUCAGCUAUACCAGGGUGAAUACGUUCUCGAGUCUUGCACACACCGCCCGU